UACGUAGGGUCCGAGCGUUGUCCGGAAUUAUUGGGCGUAAAGAGCUCGUAGGCGGUAUGUCGCGUCUGCUGUGAAAGACCGGGGCUUAACUUCGGUUCUGCAGUGGAUACGGGCAUGCUAGAGGUAGGUAGGGGAGACUGGAAUUCCUGGUGUAGCGGUGAAAUGCGCAGAUAUCAGGAGGAACACCGGUGGCGAAGGCGGGUCUCUGGGCCUUACCUGACGCUGAGGAGCGAAAGCAUGGGUAGCGAACAGG
rnacentral:rRNA from 1 species